GUCGAGAAUCAUUCACAAUGGGCGAAAGCCUGAUGGUGUGACGCCGCGUGGGGGAUGAAGGUCCUUUGGAUUGUAAACUCCUGUCAUCUGUGAGCAAAGCCUUAGCAAUAAGGUCUGACUUAAGCAGAAGAGGAAGAGACGGCAAACUCUGUGCCAGCAGCCGCGGUAAUACAGAGGUCUCAAGCGUUGUUCGGAAUUAUUGGGCGUAAAGGGCGCGUAGGCGGGAAGGUGUGUCGACCUGUAAAUCUAUCGUUUCAAGCGGUAGGCUUGGGUUGAAACUGCCUUUCUAGAGGAUUUCAGGGGAGUUUGGAAUUUACGGUGUAGCAGUGAAAUGCGUGGAUAUCGUAAGGAAGGCUUGUGGCGAAGGCGAAACUCUGGGGAAUACCUGACGCUGAGGCGCGAAGGCUAGGUUAGCAAACGGGAUUAGAAACCCGAGGUAGUCC
rnacentral:rRNA from 1 species